CCUACGGGGCGCAGCAGUUGGGAAUAUUGGACAAUGGAGGAAACUCUGAUCCAGUGACGCCGCGUGAAGGAAGAAGGUCUUCGGAUUGUAAACUUAUUUUGUCAGGGAAGAAAAAAAUGACUGUACCUGAAGAAAAAGCACCGGCUAACUACGUGCCAGCAGCCGCGGUAAUACGUAGGGUGCAAGCGUUAUCCGGAUUUACUGGGUGUAAAGGGCGAGUAGACGGCGUUGCAAGUCAGAUGUGAAAACCUAGGGCUCAACCGUAGGACUGCAUCUGAAACUGUAAUGCUAGAGUGCAGGAGAGG
rnacentral:rRNA from 1 species